rnacentral:rRNA from 1 species
ACGGCGGGUGCUAACGUCCGUCGUGAAGAGGGAAACAACCCAGACCGCCAGCUAAGGUCCCAAAGUCAUGGUUAAGUGGGAACGGCGGGUGCUAACGUCCGUCGUGAAGAGGGAAACAACCCAGACCGCCAGCUAAGGUCCCAAAGUCAUGGUUAAGUGGGAAACGAUGUGGGAAGGCCCAGACAGCCAGGAUGUUGGCUUAGAAGCAGCCAUCAUUUAAAGAAAGCGUAAUAGCUCACUGGUCGAGUCGGCCUGCGCGGAAGAUGUAACGGGGCUAAACCAUGCACCGAAGCUGCGGCAGCGACGCUKAUGCGUUGUUGGGUAGGGGAGCGUUCUGUAAGCCUGYGAAGGUGUGCUGUGAGGCAUGCUGGAGGUAUCAGAAGUGCGAAUGCUGACAUAAGUAACGAUAAAGCGGGUGAAAAGCCCGCUCGCCGGAAGACCAAGGGUUCCUGUCCAACGUUAAUCGGGGCAGGGUGAGUCGACCCCUAAGGCGAGGCCGAAAGGCGUAGUCGAUGGGAAACAGGUUAAUAUUCCUGUACUUGGUGUUACUGCGAAGGGGGGACGGAGAAGGCUAUGUUGGCCGGGCGACGGUUGUCCCGGUUUAAGCGUGUAGGCUGGUUUUCCAGGCAAAUCCGGAAAAUCAAGGCUGAGGCGUGAUGACGAGGCACURCGGUGCUGAAGCAACAAAUGCCCUGCUUCCAGGAAAAGCCUCUAAGCAUCAGGUAACAUCAAAUCGUACCCCAAACCGACACAGGUGGUCAGGUAGAGAAUACCAAGGCGCUUGAGAGAACUCGGGUGAAGGAACUAGGCAAAAUGGUGCCGUAACUUCGGGAGAAGGCACGCUGAUAUGUAGGUGAAGUCCCUCGCGGAUGGAGCUGAAAUCAGUCGAAGAUACCAGCUGGCUGCAACUGUUUAUUAAAAACACAGCACUGUGCAAACACGAAAGUGGACGUAUACGGUGUGACGCCUGCCCGGUGCCGGAAGGUUAAUUGAUGGGGUUAGCGCAAGCGAAGCUCUUGAUCGAAGCCCCGGUAAACGGCGGCCGUAACUAUAACGGUCCUAAGGUAGCGAAAUUCCUUGUCGGGUAAGUUCCGACCUGCACGAAUGGCGUAAUGAUGGCCAGGCUGUCUCCACCCGAGACUCAGUGAAAUUGAACUCGCUGUGAAGAUGCAGUGUACCCGCGGCAAGACGGAAAGACCCCGUGAACCUUUACUAUAGCUUGACACUGAACAUUGAGCCUUGAUGUGUAGGAUAGGUGGGAGGCUUUGAAGUGUGGACGCCAGUCUGCAUGGAGCCGACCUUGAAAUACCACCCUUUAAUGUUUGAUGUUCUAACGUUGACCCGUAAUCCGGGUUGCGGACAGUGUCUGGUGGGUAGUUUGACUGGGGCGGUCUCCUCCUAAAGAGUAACGGAGGAGCACGAAGGUUGGCUAAUCCUGGUCGGACAUCAGGAGGUUAGUGCAAUGGCAUAAGCCAGCUUGACUGCGAGCGUGACGGCGCGAGCAGGUGCGAAAGCAGGUCAUAGUGAUCCGGUGGUUCUGAAUGGAAGGGCCAUCGCUCAACGGAUAAAAGGUACUCCGGGGAUAACAGGCUGAUACCGCCCAAGAGUUCAUAUCGACGGCGGUGUUUGGCACCUCGAUGUCGGCUCAUCACAUCCUGGGGCUGAAGUAGGUCCCAAGGGUAUGGCUGUUCGCCAUUUAAAGUGGUACGCGAGCUGGGUUUAGAACGUCGUGAGACAGUUCGGUCCCUAUCUGCCGUGGGCGCUGGAGAACUGAGGGGGGCUGCUCCUAGUACGAGAGGACCGGAGUGGACGCAUCACUGGUGUUCGGGUUGUCAUGCCAAUGGCACUGCCCGGUAGCUAAAUGCGGAAGAGAUAAGUGCUGAAAGCAUCUAAGCACGAAACUUGCCCCGAGAUGAGUUCUCCCUGACUCCUUGAGAGUCCUGAAGGAACGUUGAAGACGACGACGUUGAUAGGCCGGGUGUGUAAGCGCAGCGAUGCGUUGAGCUAACCGGUACUAAUGAACCGUGAGGCUUAACCUU